rnacentral:rRNA from 1 species
GAGUCGACCCCUAAGGCGAGGCCGAAAGGCGUAGUCGAUGGGAAACAGGUUAAUAUUCCUGUACUUGGUGUUACUGCGAAGGGGGGACGGAGAAGGCUAUGUUGGCCGGGCGACGGUUGUCCCGGUUUAAGCGUGUAGGCUGGUUUUCCAGGCAAAUCCGGAAAAUCAAGGCUGAGGCGUGAUGACGAGGCACUACGGUGCUGAAGCAACAAAUGCCCUGCUUCCAGGAAAAGCCUCUAAGCAUCAGGUAACAUCAAAUCGUACCCCAAACCGACACAGGUGGUCAGGUAGAGAAUACCAAGGCGCUUGAGAGAACUCGGGUGAAGGAACUAGGCAAAAUGGUGCCGUAACUUCGGGAGAAGGCACGCUGAUAUGUAGGUGAAGUCCCUCGCGGAUGGAGCUGAAAUCAGUCGAAGAUACCAGCUGGCUGCAACUGUUUAUUAAAAACACAGCACUGUGCAAACACGAAAGUGGACGUAUACGGUGUGACGCCUGCCCGGUGCCGGAAGGUUAAUUGAUGGGGUCAGCGCAAGCGAAGCUCUUGAUCGAAGCCCCGGUAAACGGCGGCCGUAACUAUAACGGUCCUAAGGUAGCGAAAUUCCUUGUCGGGUAAGUUCCGACCUGCACGAAUGGCGUAAUGAUGGCCAGGCUGUCUCCACCCGAGACUCAGUGAAAUUGAACUCGCUGUGAAGAUGCAGUGUACCCGCGGCAAGACGGAAAGACCCCGUGAACCUUUACUAUAGCUUGACACUGAACAUUGAGCCUUGAUGUGUAGGAUAGGUGGGAGGCUUUGAAGUGUGGACGCCAGUCUGCAUGGAGCCGGCCUUGAAAUACCACCCUUUAAUGUUUGAUGUUCUAACGUUGACCCGUAAUCCGGGUUGCGGACAGUGUCUGGUGGGUAGUUUGACUGGGGCGGUCUCCUCCUAAAGAGUAACGGAGGAGCACGAAGGUUGGCUAAUCCUGGUCGGACAUCAGGAGGUUAGUGCAAUGGCAUAAGCCAGCUUGACUGCGAGCGUGACGGCGCGAGCAGGUGCGAAAGCAGGUCAUAGUGAUCCGGUGGUUCUGAAUGGAAGGGCCAUCGCUCAACGGAUAAAAGGUACUCCGGGGAUAACAGGCUGAUACCGCCCAAGAGUUCAUAUCGACGGCGGUGUUUGGCACCUCGAUGUCGGCUCAUCACAUCCUGGGGCUGAAGUAGGUCCCAAGGGUAUGGCUGUUCGCCAUUUAAAGUGGUACGCGAGCUGGGUUUAGAACGUCGUGAGACAGUUCGGUCCCUAUCUGCCGUGGGCGCUGGAGAAUUGAGGGGGGCUGCUCCUAGUACGAGAGGACCGGAGUGGACGCAUCACUGGUGUUCGGGUUGUCAUGCCAAUGGCACUGCCCGGUAGCUAAAUGCGGAAGAGAUAAGUGCUGAAAGCAUCUAAGCACGAAACUUGCCCCGAGAUGAGUUCUCCCUGACUCCUUGAGAGUCCUGAAGGAACGUUGAAGACGACGACGUUGAUAGGCCGGGUGUGUAAGCGCAGCGAUGCGUUGAGCUAACCGGUACUAAUGAACCGUGAGGCUUAACC